rnacentral:rRNA from 1 species
GUGAACGCUGGCGGUAGGCCUAACACAUGCAAGUCGAACGGCAGCACAGUAAGAGCUUGCUCUUACGGGUGGCGAGUGGCGGACGGGUGAGGAAUACAUCGGAAUCUACUUUUUCGUGGGGGAUAACGUAGGGAAACUUAUGCUAAUACCGCAUACGACCUACGGGUGAAAGCAGGGGAUCUUCGGACCUUGCGCGAUUGAAUGAGCCGAUGUCGGAUUAGCUAGUUGGCGGGGUAAAGGCCCACCAAGGCGACGAUCCGUAGCUGGUCUGAGAGGAUGAUCAGCCACACUGGAACUGAGACACGGUCCAGACUCCUACGGGAGGCAGCAGUGGGGAAUAUUGGACAAUGGGCGCAGGCCUGAUCCAGCCAUACCGCGUGGGUGAAGAAGGCCUUCGGGUUGUAAAGCCCUUUUGUUGGGAAAGAAAAGCAGCAGGUUAAUACCCCGCUGUUCUGACGGUACCCAAAGAAUAAGCACCGGCUAACUUCGUG